AUUGAACGCUAGCGGGAUGCUUUACACAUGCAAGUCGAACGGCAGCGCGGACUUCGGUCUGGCGGCGAGUGGCGAACGGGUGAGUAAUGUAUCGGAACGUGCCCAGUAGCGGGGGAUAACUACGCGAAAGCGUAGCUAAUACCGCAUACGCCCUACGGGGGAAAGCAGGGGAUCGUAAGACCUUGCACUAUUGGAGCGGCCGAUAUCGGAUUAGCUAGUUGGUGAGGUAAAGGCUCACCAAGGCGACGAUCCGUAGCUGGUUUGAGAGGACGACCAGCCACACUGGGACUGAGACACGGCCCAGACUCCUACGGGAGGCAGCAGUGGGGAAUUUUGGACAAUGGGGGCAACCCUGAUCCAGCCAUCCCGCGUGUGCGAUGAAGGCCUUCGGGUUGUAAAGCACUUUUGGCAGGAAAGAAACGUCGCAGGCUAAUACCCCGUGGAACUGACGGUACCUGCAGAAUAAGCACCGGCUAACUACGUG
rnacentral:rRNA from 1 species